rnacentral:rRNA from 1 species
UAACUAAGCGGAGGAAAAGAAACUAACUAGGAUUGGACUAGUAGCGGCGAGUGAAGCCCCAUAAGCCCAGAAUGCGAAUCGUCGCUUGCGAUGAAUUGUGGCAUGUAAGCCUACUUGCUAGUUUGCAGACUAAGUCCUCUGGAAUGGGGCAGCAUAGAGGGUGAAACUCCCGUACGUCUGUUAACGUGAGAGUGGGCUGUCGAGUCGAGUUGUUUGGGAUUGCAGCUCUAAGUGGGUGGUAAAUUCCAUCCAAGGCUAAAUACUGGUGAGAGACCGAUAGUGUACAAGUACCGUGAGGGAAAGAUGCAAAGCCGUGCGAGAGCGCUGUCAAAGAGUACCUGAAAUUGCUGAAAAGGAAGCGAAGGAAAUCAGUGUUAAGCCUACGUGCAUUUCUGCGGUUGCUUGCGACCGUGGUGCUGCAUCUGGUGUAGUCAGUGAUGGUAUCUAGCAGCGGAAGAUUAUUGCGCUGCACACUGCUGCCAAUGGACUAAAAUGGUUUUCUUCUCCCCG